UUGGUGUGUGUGUGUAAACAACCAGUCACAAUGCAAAUCAGAAGGGUAGAUAAAACAUUAUUUUAUUAAGAAUAUUUUAAAGAAUGAUUUGCUGAAUUAGAAUUCAAUCUUUUAGACAAUAGAUCUCAAUGUUGUUAACUAGCCAUCACAUGUAAUAAUGAACCACCAAAAUAAUGAGAGAACAUAUGGACUUACACAAGAUGGCAACAAACUGGACCUUCUUGGCACUAGCAUUAGUUUGUAGUGGUGUUAGAUAACAAAGGAAAUUAACCUAUUUUGGAACCCUGUUAAUGUCACAUGUGCUUGAAAAACAAUUAAUACAAAUAUUAAUGUCUAUAUGAGCCCCAGCGAUGCAUUAUGGCCGAUUUUGUUUAAACCACUAGUUGAAAUAAAUGUUGUCGUAACUUUAAAACCCAACUCAGAACAAAUAACUAGCCUCAAGGGUUAGAGGCCUGUUCACACUCAAAUGGUUUAGCUUUAAGCACCACAAACAAAGCAAAACAUUAUGAAAUAACAAUAUUUAGGUUGUUUUAUUCUAAACUAAUUUUCUCUGCCCAGACACUACCUCUUAUGUGAACUGUUCUGAUGAACAGAAGUGAAAAAGGUCCAAAGGGCUCCUUGCACUGUAUGCUUUAGGUGUGAAGAGCUGCAGUUUCCAUACAAUUUUCUUCAGGCAGUGAGAAAACUGCCUUAUCCUCUCUUCCAGGGGAAUCUCUGGCUUGGAUUCCUUUUCUGGAGAAGCUCAGAAGAAAAGCAUCAGACCGUAGUCAACUUUGGAUCCAAGGAUUUUUUGAAAUGGAGUCUUGCUUGCCAGCGAGUUUCAAAGACAUUGAGGUGGUGCUACUUCCCCAAUGCGAUCAUCCGUGCUGCUGCGGGUAAAAGUCAAAGAGGUGUGGCUGGGAGAAGUUUUUCGUUAGUUGCUCCAUGACAUCACGUGGACUCCAGCUGUGACUCUUCCUUCCUGGGCUGUACUAAAAGUAGGUUAAUGCGGUGAAUUUAGGGAUACAGAGUUUUCCCCAGUCUCUGUGUUUGUGUACAAUUCAGUCCACGUUUCAUCCCAUGGCUGGGGCACAACACUGUAUUUUGGAUUUUUAUUUGAUCAUAUUUCCUAUUAGAUAAUCCAGCUCUGCAUGCUAAGAGCUGAUCAGGGUGAACUACAAGGAUGAUGUACUCCUUCUCUGCAGAUGAUUUGCCAACAAUUUUAAUUGUCACAGAAGGUUAUCUUACUGGGAAAACAACGGCUGAGAUUAGAGGACAAAUGGAAAUAAGGGAAUUCUGUGGUAGUGACAUGUGAAUAAUUAAAUUUAGAGAUAGAUUUAGGAGCACAAUACAAAAUCAACAAAUGUUAGUUCCUUCUGGAACCAUUUUGGCAGAAUCUAAAAAACCCAGAGAGUUUGGGUUUCACAGACUGGCCGACAAUCAGGUCCAAAUUAAAAAGACACUUAUAUCUGCCAAAGAAAAGACUUCCAUCAAAUCUCAUACACAGCGGAUUGCGAGGCCUAUGCAGAAUGCGUACCUCCUUUUUAUGACCAUGAGAAGUCUUUAUUAACACAGGAAAUAAAUCAGAAGUUAAAAGCAUGAGGAAAAGCUGACAGCUGUGCUGCUGAGUCUGACUGUGGACACUGCUGUUAAGAUGUGAGAAACUUGUACAGUCAAACCAUAAGAGUGCUCUGUUCUCCUGAUAAUACAGUUUAUGACAUGACAGAAAAAAGAUGGGCAAUCUUGAAAUGUUUGCCAUGCAUACCAGGACAAACAAUGUUGUGGAUCUGCUAAAAAUUGUUUGCUGUUUAGAGAAACAAAUUUAUAUUGAAGACCCAUUAUCAUCAAUCCAAAGAGAAACUUAGAUGUUCAGCAGGCUGUUGGUUCUAAUCAUGUUGGCUGUUGCAUGCCGACCUAUCUGUACAGGUCAUUGACAAUUUUACAAUUGUCUCAAAAUGUAUUUCACUGUUUUGCCCAUUCCUCAG